UUUGGCCGGAAAGGCUUACCAUGAGUUGCCAGGGCUGAGAGAGAUGGAGAAGGAUUCGCGGCGGUGACAGAUUAAAUUCCCCAGUUACAUUAUAGACUUGGAGACUUGUCCUUGUGUGGACGGGAGCCGGAAAGCCUUGAGAACUUAUUCCUCGACCCGGACAUGGCACAGGAGAAAAUGAAACUAGGUUUCAAGUCGCUGCCGAGUUCCACUACCGCAGACGGCAACAUUCUGAGAAGAGUCAACAGUGCCCCUUUGAUCAAUGGACUUGGCUGCUUUGUCACCUCUGACCUUCACCUCCAGCCGCUUGAAUGGAAAUGGUUGUCAAGCAAAUAAGCUUUGGACUUU
rnacentral:lncRNA from 10 species